rnacentral:lncRNA from 1 species
AUGUGGGCUUCAAGAGUGGCCAGCCUUGGUGUAUUUUCAAUACAGCUUUGUUUCUUGGCUCAAGUUGGUGAGACUUUGGCUGGGAAAGAGCUGGCUGCUGACAAAGCCCCCACUGAUGCUAGAGGCAGGAGGGCUCUCAGCCCAUCCCUUGAAGGAGACAAAGAGCUAGAAACCAGAAGGCAGCCUUCCAGGAGGUGGCAGGAGGAGGAAGGAGCCGCUGGAAGUGGUGGCAGAACCCAGAGCAACAUGAUGAACACACCUCUCCUGGGCACUAGCAAGGAGAAAGCUACUGGCAACGUUCAGAAGCCCGCUUUGUCCCCAACAAAGACCAGGAGCCAAGGACUUCAGACCCACUUGAAAGGCUAUGGGAAGUUUAAUAUGGAUAGGUCUUCCUGUCCUGGGAUUCAGUUGAAGACCUGCAGAAAACCCUCAGACUGUGAUGGCUGCCUUGGCCUUUACACCUGCAAACUGCCAAGGGGGAAGUGCGACUUAAAAGCAGUGUCGCGGCAAACAGGUAGCUUCUUUCAGAGCAUCCAAAGCAGAUAAGGACACUCAGCUGAUGGACGGUUUAAGAAGAAUCACUCCAAAACAAUCCAAGGGACAUUUGUGUUUCUGUAGUUAUAGUGGAGAGGGAAAUAAAUGAAUUGAAAAUCAAAAGCGCUGCUUAAUA